rnacentral:lncRNA from 1 species
UUUACUAGGCUUGCUGUGCACAUCAACCAUAAUAAUUUCUGUUAUAUCCAUGGGCAUAUUCACGUGGAAGCAGACAAGAGUAAGGAAAAAAUGGAGAAGAAUGAACAUGAGGGUUUCAGGUUCAUUUCAAGAAGAUAACUGUGUGGUUGAAGAAAAAAAUGGGAUGUUCUGAGAGACACAAAGACUAGAGAAGAAGAGGAGUCUCAGAUGAGGAUGCUUAACCCGUUACUGCCGGGUCACGUGAUAGGACAUCAUAGCAAACCGCAUGGUUGGCAGGUUCAGCUUGUACACGCGGCAACACGCCAGAGCGCGUGGAGCGGGGCGUUCGGCUUAACGCAGCGGACUCCCGCGCCCACUGUCUGGCCACUGCCAGAUAUCACCAGAGCUUAAUUGCUCUCAGGGAUUUUUGACAACUGGGAAUAAUGGGUUAAAAAGCUGAAAUUAAUUCAUCAGUAAGCUUUCAAAAUGUAUGCAUUUUAUGUCUGCUUGAGUAUAUAUAAGAGGCCAUGGACAUAUAAAAAUUCUUGGAAAUCUCUCCCUCUCUCUCUAAUAAUUGUAAUUAUUAUAAUAAAUGUACAAAAUGUGAUCAUUAUGACUUCAUGAAACUGAAGUGAUUAAAGAUAUAUAAAAAUGAAAGAAAGAAAAAUAUAUAACUACUACUACUACUACUGCCCCUACCCAGUAGCAUCAAACUGCAACUAAUAACAUUUGGAUUAGACUUCCUCAAAGAAUUGUAAAAUGUACAAUUAGCAUUUGCUUUCAUAGAUAUGCUUGCAGUUACAAGUAAAAACAUGCCAUAAAACAUAUGAAUAUUCUUUGAUUUGUCUAUAUAUGUCAUUUGUUUUUUAUUGUUUAUAAUAGUAAGUGAAAUAGUGAAGGAAAAAAUAAAUAUAAUAAAGUAAAAAACUGAUACUCAUAAAUCCAAAACCCAUGUAUUCUCUUUUUCUAGCAUUACAAACCACCAUUCAUCAGAUGCUGGUGACAUACUUUUCUACUAUAUUUGUAUGAAAUAAAUGUUUACUUUUUUAAAGAAAGCAUGUUGUAUACUAUACAGUGCAGCUCAACUGCUCAUACUGCAUGGUAAAUCCACUUCACAACUAAAAUAUGAAAAUUAUGGAAUGCUGGUACAGAAAGACUUCUGUUUACAAUUUAUUUUCAGCUUCCUAUCCACUGUACAUGGUAGGUACCUGAAUGAUUUUUAUGGCCCUAUGCGUCUCCAUCUUGAAUACCAUUAUUUUGUCCUUUAUAUAGAUCAUAACUUUAAUUACAGUCACAUACUCUGAAACAUUUUGAGCAAAAAAAUAUUUUGUGGAAAUAAGUACAAUUUCUUUCCUAUGGCACAGUCAAAAAUGAUAAAAAAGUAAUGGAAAUAAAAAUAGCAAAUACAUGUAAGUAUUUUCUUCACUUUUACCAUGAGCAUUAACAUCUAAGUUUAAAAGAUAAUACAGAAAUGUAUGAAUGUACUUUUAUAUACAUGUAUAUACAUAUAUGUGUGUGCAGGUAUGCAAGCAUACAUGUACAGGUAUUUAUAUACAUAUGCUUUAAAUACAUAUGUGAACACACUUACAAACACAGCCCCAUACAUCCAUAUGCAACAACUUACAAACACCCCAACAUCCUGACAAGCAUAUGCACACAAG